UAUACAUGUCCAUGUAGGUAUAAGCCCGAACGAACAAAGCCCAGGAACACUCUGGCCCGUUCCCGUUUUCACGCCAUUGGAAAACGCUGUCCGAUCUGUUGGGCGAACAAGAAGCCCUAGUCGACGAGUCCGUCUCUUUCUCGUGCAUCGAUCCGAUUGAAGUUCCCCAAGUGCGAAUCAUGGAUUUGGAGCGCUCGGUAAUGGCUCACGGCAAGGUGGCACCUGCCGUCCAGGCUUCCUUCCUCGCCGGUAGAAUCUGGCGUAGGAGGUGGAUUGCUUGUGGGUAUGUUGGCUAGCUUCCUGAGAAAAUGUUGCUAAAUGGGCUUCAUUGUUCUUGGUCCUUAAGAGACCCUAAGAGGUUAUGAGGAUGCGCUAACCCUUUAUAGAUGGAUGCGUAAAAGUGUCGCACGACUUAGGCAAAUCCAGCUAAAUCUAUGACAAAUUGCAUGAAAGACAUUCCUUAUUAUUUUGCUAUUGAUUAAAGAUUGUUAUACCAACAAUGGGUUUUCCUUGAUGCAAGCAAUCUCAUCAGCCUGGAGGUGGCACUCAUCCAGAUCUUAAGCACUUCCAGGGACCUGAUUACAUAUAGAUGACUAAUGGAAAACUUUGAAGGUUCAGGACAUCAACUAGGGGAGAGGCUCUGGUGCAUGCUUCUGUUGAGAGAUGCAGUUUCUUUUCAGUGAUGCUGCAGCCUGUUUUGUAGAUCAGAAUACCUUCGUUUGUGUCACUGAGAAGAUCAAGCUGAGCUUGAACCUAAGCUUCCACAAUGGCACAGGAGAAAAAAGUUACUACUCUCUCAUUUUGUCACCUCAAAUAAUCCUGGAAGUCAGUUGGACAUCAACAGCAGCACACAAUAUGGUGAUAACGCCCAUCAAAUCUGUAUUUGCCAAGCUAAUGGGCGAGGUAACAACUCCAUUCAUAAGACACCGAGUUAUCAUCAAUUACUGUCUUGGUAUAUAUCUUGUGGACAGUAUAUAAAUAUGUGUGUUGAAAGUAUGUAAUCUCCUACUUAUCGUGAGGUAUCGUGGAAGCCGUGUUGACCCGGGGUUCCAAGAAAUGGCAAGCGCUCGCAUCUUAUCUACACGUGGCGGCAGUGCACGGUGCGCUGGGUCAACUCCUCCACCUUGCAGCACUCACCAACAUCACAGAGCUGUUGUCGCCACCAUAUAUGCCCUGCACUGUGCCCGCGUCUCCUCCUCUUUCUUCCUCAGCCUUCUCUUCUGAUGCCCGUCGUUCCAAGAUUCACUUAAAACAUUGUCAUUGUUAUUACAUGCAUGCAUGUAACUUUUCUUUACUUUUUAUCCUCGGUUAGCGGUAGAAAAGAAAAGACUCGAUUGGUAUGUAGAUUGAAGUCAGUGGUGACGAUUAAGACGUCCAAUAUCGUACAUUAGGUAUGGACGAAACGGAGGAUGAUACGGCGUGUUUAGUAAAUGAUUUU